rnacentral:lncRNA from 14 species
CAGAAGCGCUGGGCUGCAGCAAGGGAUGGAAGUUGCAAGUGCAACUGAAAAGACACCCAAGCUGGGAGAGCUGUUGGCAUUUUUCCUGACAACAUCCUGCACAAAUGGAGUCAGUUCGGGCAAGAGCAUCAAACAGGGGAGCCCAUGGCACUAAAUCAGCCUGGGAUUCAGUGCUCUGCCCUGAUUCUUAACUGAUUCCUUCCCUCAGUUUCCCCAUCUGUAAAAUGGAGGAUGUGCUGCCAACCCCUGCUUGAAAACCGCUGUCGGAUGCAGAAGAUGUAACUGAAUCGCUCAGGUGAUGCUCGUCGGCAACAGAUCAAGAGCAGCCCGUGUCCCCUGAGCCCUGUGCCAGCCUGGACCAAGCAGUGAUGAAUAGAGAAGAGCAACAUUUCUGCCCUGGAAGGAUUUCAGCCCUAACAGGGGAGCUGAGCUCUCUCAGCCUCAAAACCUAAUGAACCACAUCAUCUGUGUUUGUGGGAGGCUUCAGCAGGAGCAGAGAGGGGUAAGAAGAGAGAAGGAAUGGCUGAUGGCGAGCACAGCCAGUACAUGGGAUAUGGGUGCUGGUGGGACUCGCUGUGCUGCUACCCUGUGAGCUUGGCAACUUCCCGGCCCUACUGCGGCUGCAGAGGAGCUGAGCCUGGCUGUGCUGGAUGCUUUGCUACUUAAACAUUCCUGGGUUUGGAUGCCACAGCAGACCCAGAUGUCGGUGCAGCCCUGGACCUGCAGAACGGUGAGUGCUCCCUAGGCUUGAGUAGGGUGAGGCAGGGUCAGCAGCAUCACUGCCCUUGCACCCUGUGGGGUUUGUACACUUGGAUGCUUGAAACCCAGCUCAUUU